rnacentral:lncRNA from 1 species
CUUCUUUUCAUUCUUAUGCAGGGUGAUUGUUUGGUGCUGAUACAACAUUGACUUUUCCCAUAAUUUAGCUUAGAGUGUUUUACACUGGGGAGUUCCAAUGUGUUUAAAUUGUAAAACUUUUUCCGAGCAUUUUUGUAGCAGAACUCCAUGUUCUAAUAGCCCCGGCAAAGUUGUUUUUAAUACUUUUUCUCUACGAAUUUUCAUUAAAAUUUAAUUCCAUUUUAACUUUGUCAAUUUUCCCCAAAGAUAAAUUAAGACACACAGAGAGAUUGUCAUUUCCUGUUUGAAGUCUCAUUCCUGUGUACAAUGUCAGUCUUUUUUAUUUAGGCCUAUGCCAUUCCAUCAGGGUAAAUAACUUUCUAACUAGUCAUUUAAGAGCAACUCCCGGGAAACUGUGAUGCAAUCCCACAUAUCAGCCAGACUUCAAAAGCUGCCAGAUUAUUGUGAAAGGAGAAACACUGUUUUCGAAGGCUGCUGAUAAUGCCUAUUAGCCAGAAGAAAGAGCCUGAAUCAUUCAAAGGUUUUCCAUCUAGUAAAGAAGUGUGGUAAAAAUCUUGCCCAGAUCUGCAUGUGCUAAGCAUCUACGUAAGUUGGAGCAUCAUAUUAAUGACACCCAGUGAAGAAACGAAAGAAUGAAGUGUAAUUACUAUAUCAAAAAUCCACAGAAUGUGAAAGUAUAAAGGAAAACUCUCAGCUGCUCAGCUAAAAACUUUGGAGUUAGACAUAUGGACAGCCCACCCCAAGGGAAGAAUCAGAGGAGAAGGGACACAAGACCCCAGAAACACACAAAGCACCUUAAUAUGCAUGCUGCAUCUCUCUAAAAUUGUGGAACCUGUUUACCUGCUCUGGAGAAUGGCUGCCUGUGGCAGACAUAGGAGUUGUCCUCAUGCUGUGCUUCCUAUCUUCCACAGUAAUUGACUUGUAGCUGCAAUACAGUUACCAACCAGGAAUACAAUUUCUCAGCCCCAUGUCUUGCACCUACAGCUAAGUGUGGCCAUGUGACCAGUUUUCACCAAUUAAGUGUGAAUAGCAACAAAGUGCACCACCUUCAAUUGGAGGCUUUGAAGAAGCAGGGCAGCCUUCCCUUGCUCUCUUUCCCCUUGUUCUGGUGGGAUACAGAUGACAAUAAGGCCCUGGGUUUUGAGGUAGCCACAAGAUGCAAAAUACCUCAGACCUGAGUCACCACAAGGAAGAGAGAAGCCCACUGACAUGGAAUACCCAGCCUAGUCUACAGAUGAAUAAGAAAUAAACUUCUAUUAUGUUCGAACAUUACAGAUUUUGUUCUGUUAUAGCAGUUUAUCUCACCCUGACUAAACUGUUGCCUAUCUUCCAAGAUAGGCCCUCCUUCCCUGAAAGUGACUUUUUCAUACAUGUAAUCUGUAUUUUAAUUCAUAUUCUCCAAAGCAUAUCCACAUCUAUUCAACUAUUUUCAUGUCUUCCA